UUUUAAUUAACCAUCUCAUUAUUUUGUAUCUUAUUCGGCCUUCUUUUUUAUCUUUCAGUUCCGACGACACCUUCUCUCCUCUCGGCUCUUAUCUCCAUUCAAGCGCAAGGUAUUUCGUGAAGUCAGAACCAGAUAAUCAGAAAUCAUACCACAACACUCUCUUUCUUCAAACUCGGAGCUGUUCUCUCCAUAGCGGUGGCCAGAGGAUAGUCUCACGAUUCAGUGAAGCGUUUACGAGGCGGCGGAAGCAGCAGUGCUAUGUUGCGCCGAGCUGCUGCGUUUUGUGGGCUCAUCUCUCUUUGAUCUGAAAAGUUCUUUUUAAGGUAUUAAGGAAUAUGACAUGAAGCUUCUUGAUUCUUCCUCUGUCUGCAAGAUAGAGCUUUACUAUUUGGGAAUGUGAUGUCACAAUCCACACUGUGAACCUCCAUGUUUCAGCUCACCAUAGAUUUCUUCUGAAUGGGACCAGAGUCAGUUUUGAAUCAACAGGCACAUCACCUUCGGGAAAGUUCUCACCACCAUCCAAUGAUGAUAAAUUACCUACUGACCUACAUAUGAGCCUCAAAAAGAUGGACUUUAUAAAUUAUCAUCAUCAGGUGGUUUUACUGUAAAUUAAAAUCAGUGAUCAUAUCUUAGUGUUUAUUCUCGACAUAUCUUAUUCAGUUCCUUUUACUGAUUUGUCUCUGAAGUAGAGGGUUGAGAAACGGCAGCAGAAACGGUUCUGUUGCAAUGUAUCUUUUGGCCGAGAAAAACUUGAUUUCCGUUUUGUUGCAAUUUACCUUGAUUAUGUGCUUGAUGAGAAUGAUUUUCUCAGCUGGAGUAGUAAUGUGCAGAAUCAUUUAAUA